UAAGCUAUGUGCCUAAGAAAAGACGGAGCGUUUAGACGCCUAUUUUUCGACAGUUUUAAAACUAGAAAAUUCACUGCAAAAAGCGUCGAAAAGCUAAAAUAUUUAACAUUUAAAUGAAAAAAGAGCGGACUUUUUCCAUCUAUAUGAGACACAAAAGUGGAAAACCCUAAGCUCUCAUUCCGCUUGCAACCACAUCUAUCUUUUCGCCUCCCACUUCCGAAAACCCUAAUCUUUCAUGCCGCUUGCAACCACUCCUUUCAUCAAAAUCUCAUUGUCAUCUUCACUCUCAAUCUCUUAUAUGUUUGCUGGGACUCGAAUCAGACAGUUUAUGAAUCAGUGCCUUUCUUUGGAUUUCUAAAUUGAUGUUAAUUUAGACGUUUCGAGUUUUUAUAGUAUGGUGGUGAGGUGGAAGUUUCUGGUUUUCCUACUGAAAAGGCUAUCUUGUCCUGAGGAGUCGAGCUAGGUAUGAAGUUUGAAUCUGUAAGAUCAGAAGCCAUUAUCCUCCAUGUGAGCCCUUUCAAUUCAGAGAAAAAGCGAGGUGGAUUUAGGAACUUGACACUCUAUACUAACUGUAUAUAUGAUCUUCCACUCAAGAAAGAAUAAAAGUGUCUUGGCUUCUUAGUGGAGAAUGUUGUAGAUAUUAGAAGUUUCACAAUUUCAUAACUAUUGAGGAGCAAGCCCGCCUUUGUUGAUAUUUGUUAAUACAAUUGAUGUGGAAGUUAUUUUUUGAGAUGUAAUUUUUGUUUGCCAAUGGAAUUUUAUAUUUUUGUUAUUUUAAACAUUUAUGUAAUUAUAUACAAUGUAUGUGAUUUUUGGACCAUCAAUACAAAUUAUUAAUCCAAUGUUUGUUUAUUGGGCAAAGUGAAGCUAUAAUUUCUAAGC